rnacentral:misc_RNA from 1 species
CCUAGAGUUGUAGGCUUUGCCUGCUAUCUCUUACCCAUGUCUUUUGAGUACCUUCGUUUCCUCGGCGGGUCCGCCCGCCGAUUGGACAAUUUAAACCAUUUGCAGUUGCAAUCAGCGUCUGAAAAAACUUAAUAGUUACAACUUUCAACAACGGAUCUCUUGGUUCUGGCAUCGAUGAAGAACGCAGCGAAAUGCGAUAAGUAGUGUGAAUUGCAGAAUUCAGUGAAUCAUCGAAUCUUUGAACGCACAUUGCGCCCCUUGGUAUUCCAUGGGGCAUGCCUGUUCGAGCGUCAUUUGUACCUUCAAGCUCUGCUUGGUGUUGGGUGUUUGUCUCGCCUCUGCGCGCAGACUCGCCUCAAAACAAUUGGCAGCCGGCGUAUUGAUUUCGGAGCGCAGUACAUCUCGCGCUUUGCACUCAUAACGACGACGUCCAAAAGUACAUUUUUACACUCUUGACCUCGGAUCAGGUAGGGAUACCCGCUGAACUUAAGCAUAUCAAUAAGCGGAGGAAUCGUUCCCUUGGUCAUUUAGAGGAAGUAAAAGUCGUAACAAGGUCUCCGUUGGUGAACCAGCGGAGGGAUCAUUACCGAGUUUACAACUCCCAAACCCCUGUGAACAUACCACUUGUUGCCUCGGCGGAUCAGCCCGCUCCCGGUAAAACGGGACGGCCCGCCAGAGGACCCCUAAACUCUGUUUCUAUAUGUAACUUCUGAGUAAAACCAUAAAUAAAUCA